UACGGAGGGUGCAAGCGUUAUCCGGAUUCACUGGGUUUAAAGGGUGCGUAGGCGGGCAGGUAAGUCCGUGGUGAAAUCUCUGAGCUUAACUCAGAAACUGCCAUGGAUACUAUUUGUCUUGAAUGUUGUGGAGGUAAGCGGAAUAUGUCAUGUAGCGGUGAAAUGCUUAGAUAUGACAUAGAACACCGAUAGCGAAGGCAGCUUGCUACACAAUAAUUGACGCUGAGGCACGAAAGCGUGGGGAUCAAACAGG
rnacentral:rRNA from 1 species